GCAGCCAGGGCUGCUGCCGAAAAGGAGGAGCAGAAGGUGGAAGUGUGUCUUAAGGUCUCUAUCAUGGAGUACACAGAGAUCUACCCAUGCUUUGAGCUUCCCAGGUUAUUCUGGGGCUCAUUCAAGUUUAAGAACUGCUGUGCUUGAUAAACUGACAUCUUUGGAGUCUCUGCUUUUAACAUACGGAGGGCAAAAUCAGCAAGCUAUUUCCCAAGAGUGAGGGAAAGCCUGGCCUGAUUGGAGUAUCCUCGGCACUUGGACAUGGACUUCAUGGCUCAGAUAUCCCCUGUCAAGGGUGUGAUUCCCCAAGAUCCAGCUGGGGCACCUCCACUUACCUUCUUUUAGCACUCUCAGGGCCACUCCUUCCAUCCCUUGACAGCCCCUGCUCACCCUGAUGUGAUCCAUGCAGGUGAGAGCUGACUCAGGCUCUCUCUGCCACCCGGAAACUGGCUUCCUGUGGCUCUUGAUGGGGCCUGACUGGUUUGACUUGGUGAGGCAGCUGUGAUUUCCCAAUACCUCCUCUCUGGGGAUCUUCAGGCACACACCAUCUGGCUCUGUGAGGACUUAGGAACUAUCUGGGUGCAGAGAGGUGGUAUUCUCCUCGCUGUCAUCAGGCUGUCCUUUUCUGGGUUUCCCACCCUCCUCUGUAAAAUGUUGUUUUCACUAAUCUCUAUGCCUAGCAAGAGCAUCUAGCAAACAUAUGUAUGCAAGAUUUGUUGAAAGAAUAAAAGUUGUAAAGUUCCU
rnacentral:lncRNA from 10 species